rnacentral:rRNA from 1 species
AUUGAACGCCGGCGGCAGGCUUAACACAUGCAAGUCGAGCGGGGGAAGGUAGCUUGCUACCGGACCUAGCGGCGGACGGGUGAGUAAUGCUUAGGAAUCUGCCUAUUAGUGGGGGACAACAUCUCGAAAGGGAUGCUAAUACCGCAUACGUCCUACGGGAGAAAGCAGGGGAUCUUCGGACCUUGCGCUAAUAGAUGAGCCUAAGUCGGAUUAGCUAGUUGGUGGGGUAAAGGCCUACCAAGGCGACGAUCUGUAGCGGGUCUGAGAGGAUGAUCCGGCACACUGGGACUGAGACACGGCCCAGACUCCGACGGGAGGCAGCAGUGGGGAAUAUUGGACAAUGGGGGGAACCCUGAUCCAGCCAUGCCGCGUGUGUGAAGAAGGCCUUAUGGUUGUAAAGCACUUUAAGCGAGGAGGAGGCUACUCUAGUUAAUACCUAGGGAUAGUGGACGUUACUCGCAGAAUAAGCACCGGCUAACUCUGUGCCAGCCGCCGCCGUAA